GAGACUAACUAUGGAGCCAGCUUUAUUGAGUUCUAUUCUGAGGAAGCAAAACGGAUAUAUGGUGACAUAAUUUCACCAACUAUGGCCGAUCGUCGAAUUUUGGUCUUGAAGCAGCCAGUUGGAGUUGUUGGUGUUGUUACCCCUUGGAACUUUCCGUUGGCUAUGAUUACGCGGAAGGUUGGACCUGCUCUUGCAUGUGGUUGUACGGUGGUCAUAAAACCCUCUGAGCUUAC
rnacentral:misc_RNA from 1 species